rnacentral:lncRNA from 1 species
GCCGUCUGGCCAGCCACCGGCCGCCGCUCCACCCCAGUUCGGACCCCCCAUCUCCUCCUCUCCCUCCCCGGCCUAGCCCCCGAGCCUCUAACCCGCCGGAAGAGGAGAAAACCCGCCGGAAACGCCGGGAAGCAUUUCGCCGGAACUCCCUCCUCCGGCCACCAAUCCGGGCAAGCUUGGUACGGUUUUGUAGCCCUCCAAUCCAGCAGCCUUGCCCUAAAAGGACUCACUCCCUCUUGAGCUAGGUAAGGAGAAAUUUGAGGUGGAAGUUUUAUGGUGUUUUUGAUGUUUUUAGUCGAUCGACCUAGUUAGGCUUGGAAUUGGUGUUUGUGCUAGUUAGGAAAGUUGUAGAGCAUGAUGAGAGGAUUAUUCUGUCAAAAUUUCAUAGGUUUUGGAGGUCGCCGGAAUUGGCCUCCGGCCGCCGCUGCCGGCGGAGCCGCCGCCGCCGCCGUCGCCGGUUAGGAGAUUUUUAGGGUUUUAAGUGUGGAAUAUUAAGAGGAGUAUAUUGAUGUGAUUUAUGGAAUUUUUGGAUGAGAUUUGGAUAGGUUUGUGAAUUUCCGAAGUUUGGUAUUUUUGACGGUUAAUUAAUGCAGAAUCCGGCCGUAGGAUUUAAGUCGUAUUUUGGGGAGGUUGUAUUUACGACUGUUGAGUAUGAUAUUUAAGUUCGGAUUGUUCCGAUUUAAGAAUAUCGAAGUUAGGCAAUGAUGAGCGUAUUUAUGGCUCUCGGGUAAUUUUGCCUAUUUUGAUUAAAUAUUGGAUUUUUGGUUGGGAAAUUAAUAUUAUAUUUGGAACAGGACGUGAGGAGGCUCGAGCAGACGAGGCCCCAGAUCGACAUCAGGCUUAGGCCUAAUUUGUGAGUGGACGUUUAUUUUAAAUAAAUGCAUGCUAUGGUUCAUGGUUGAUCAAUUAAUGUUGCGGAAAUAUUUUAACGUCAUUUUAAUUUGACGUAUUUUUAUUUCUCUUGGAGAGUUACCGAAAAUAGGAUUUUCGGUGGAUAUAAAUAUGUAUUUAUGAGAGAUUAUGUAUAUAAAUGCUAGCUAGCCAUAUGUGUCUGUCCACCUUAAUGGCGUAGCAUAUAGCCGCAUUAUGGUGUGACGUGAGCGUUGGACGUAAGCGUAGUAGCCCUAUUUG